CCUACGGGUGGCAGCAGUGAGGAAUAUUGGUCAAUGGGCGUAAGCCUGAACCAGCCAAGUCGCGUGAGGGAUGAAGGUUCUAUGGAUCGUAAACCUCUUUUAUAAGGGAAUAAAGUGCGGGACGUGUCCCGGUCUGUGUGUACCUGAUGAAUAAGGAUCGGCUAACUCCGUGCCAGCAGCCGCGGUAAUACGGAGGAUGCGAGCGUUAUCCGGAUUUCUUGGGUUUAAAGGGUGCGUAGGGUGUGUUUUAAGUCAGCGGUGAAAGUUUGUGGCUCAACCCGAAAAUUGCGGUUGAAACUGGAAGCCUUGAGUGUGUGUGAGGUAGGCGGAAUGCGUGGUGUAGCGGUGAAAUGCAUAGAUAUCGCGCAGAACUCCGAUUGCGAAGGCAGCAUACUAGGCCAGAACUGACGCUGAAGCACGAAAGCGUGGGGAUCAAACAGGAUUAGAUACCCCAGUAGUC
rnacentral:rRNA from 1 species